UCCAAUUUUUCAAAGACGGUGAAUCAUCCUUAACUGGUAGAGUUGUACUCUUACUUUGGCGUUUUCUGUACAUAAUAGUUAAAGACUAUUAGUACAAUGACAAUCCCAAAUGCAGGUAAACCAUACCUUAAAGCAUGCACUAUCAUCAUCUUGGAAUUUUUGUGGAGAUGUUUUUCUUGCAAGGUGGGACUAGCAAUCUUGGUGGACCACAAAGUGCAAAAUUGUUCAUGAAUGACGUGCUGGAAAAGUUUGGAAAACAUCCAUUGCUUGGAAUUUCUCCUUCAAGCCUAUUGGAAGAAACAUUAAGAUAAUUU